rnacentral:rRNA from 1 species
GAUGAACGCUGGCGGCGUGCCUAAUACAUGCAAGUCGAACGAAACUUCUUUAUCACCGAGUGCUUGCACUCACCGAUAAAGAGUUGAGUGGCGAACGGGUGAGUAACACGUGGGCAACCUGCCCAAAAGAGGGGGAUAACACUUGGAAACAGGUGCUAAUACCGCAUAACCAUAGUUACCGCAUGGUAACUAUGUAAAAGGUGGCUAUACUACCGCUUUUGGAUGGGCCCGCGGCGCAUUAGCUAGUUGGUAGGGUAAAGGCUUACCAAGGCAAUGAUGCGUAGCCGAAUUGAGAGGUUGAUCGGCCACAUUGGGACUGAGGCACGGCCCAAACUCCUACGGGAGGCAGCAGUAGGGAAUCUUCCACAAUGGGCGAAAGCCUGAUGGAGCAACGCCGCGUGGGUGAAGAAGGUCUUCGGAUCGUAAAACCCUGUUGUUAGAGAAGAAAGUGCGUGAGAGUAACUGUUCACGUUUCGACGGUAUCUAACCAGAAAGCCACGGCUAACUACGUG